rnacentral:rRNA from 1 species
AUUGAACGCUGGCGGCAUGCCUUACACAUGCAAGUCGAACGGUAACGGGCCUUCGGGUGCCGACGAGUGGCGUACGGGUGAGUAAUACAUCGGAACGUUCCCGAUCGUGGGGGAUAACGAGUCGAAAGCUUUGCUAAUACCGCAUACGAUCUACUGAUUAAAGCAUGGGACCGCAAGGCCUUGCUCGGACGGAUCGGCCGAUGGCAGAUUAGGUAGUUGGUGGGAUAAAAGCUUACCAAGCCGACGAUCUGUAGCUGGUAUGAGAGGAUGCUCAGCCACACUGUGACUGAGACACGGCCCAGACUCCUACGGGAGGAAGCAGUGGGGAAUUUUGGACAAUGGGCGAAAGCCUGAUCUAGCACUGCCGCGUGCAGGAUGAAGGCCUUCGGGUUGUAAACUGAUUUUGUACGGAACGAAAAGCAUUCUUUUAAUACAGGAGGGUCAUGACGGUACCGUAAGAAUAAGCACCGGCUAACUACGUG